GUUAUCCGGAAGUGACGUUUGAAAAGCGAAAGCGAAUCGGAGAAGAGUGAGAGCAACCACCCAGGGAGAUAAAUUAGGCUGAAUUUGUGACUCAAGUCAACCUGGCUCUCCCCAGUCCUAAUCUGGCACUUAGGUGAUGGGAAAGCAAGCAAUGGAAAAAUGAUGCUGCCAAAUCACUGACUGUGGUCCUAUUGCCUCCUAAGAACAGCAGGUACAAGACGGAAGAGGCUGAGAAUCCAUUCUGUAAAUUAAAGAAUCCAUCAGUCUAAAUUAAAAUCCAGUCUGGCCUAUAACUGGCUGACCACAA